rnacentral:lncRNA from 1 species
CUGCAGCCUCGAGAGCAUAUCCCCAAAAGAAUAUCAAAAGAUCUAUGAAAUACAUCAUGGACCGCACCAUAUCUAAUAAGGUACGAUUCCUCUUUUCUAAAAUUUUAUUUAUUUAUAGAGUAUAAAGAGGUAUCCAUCGAGAGAGUAUUUUAUUUUAUUUUAAAUAAUCGAGAAACUUACUAGACAAGUAUUCUCCUCCUCGA